rnacentral:rRNA from 1 species
UAGAGUUUGAUCCUGGCUCAGAACGAACGCUGGCGGCAGGCUUAACACAUGCAAGUCGAACGAACUCUUCGGAGUUAGUGGCAGACGGGUGAGUAACGCGUGGGAACCUACCUUUAGGUACGGAACAACAGUUGGAAACGACUGCUAAUACCGUAUGUGCCCUAUGGGGGAAAGAUUUAUCGCCUAAGGAUGGGCCCGCGUUGGAUUAGCUAGUUGGUGGGGUAAUGGCCUACCAAGGCGACGAUCCAUAGCUGGUCUGAGAGGAUGAUCAGCCACACUGGGACUGAGACACGGCCCAGACUCCUACGGGAGGCAGCAGUGGGGAAUAUUGGACAAUGGGGGCAACCCUGAUCCAGCCAUGCCGCGUGAGUGAUGAAGGCCCUAGGGUUGUAAAGCUCUUUCAGCGAGGAGGA